UGGCAUCAUUUGCAUGCAUCAGGAUACAUCUGCCUUGCCCAGGAAAGCUCUGGCAACAAGAGCACUGCAGCUCCCAGUGCAGGGCAAUGCUCAGAUGGAAGCUGCUGGAGAGGAAAUGUAGGAAGAGCAGUGAGGGGACAGGAGAGAUAAGGGGAGAGCCUGAGCUGGCAGAAAAACUGGAGCUUCAGUCCCAGCUUGGAGGGGCUCACAGCUGUGCCUGCCCAACAUGGGGGGCUUGGAGGGAGGCAGUGACUGGCAGAGCAUCCAAUCUGGCCAAAUAAAAGGCAUUAACUCCUGGAGGGAAGGAUCAGGCGAGUGUUCCAUCUCUUAUCCAGGAGGUUUGCAGUGGAGGUUGACAGACAUGUUUGGUAGCUCUGAGGCACUGAAGCAGCAGUAAUGGUUGAGGCAGAGCUGAGGAGCUGCAGGGAAGGGUUGUAGGCAUGUGGCUGGUUUUGCUGUGCUGCUUCUCGGUGCUCCCUCCCCAAGCAUGUCUCUUGUCUCCUUGAGCUGCUUAGUUUUGGUUGGCAUUCAGUGUUCCCAGGUUGGACACCGGAGCAAGAAUCACUCCUGGAGACUGGCAGGCCUAGAGCUUCCAACAUUUCCACGUGUUCCAGAGCUGCAGGAGCCUGGACAAGCAGCACUCCUCUGCUGCUCAGUGGCUUACAGGAGGGGAGAGCUUGCUCUGGGGAGGCAGAUCCUCGGAUCUGUGCUGAGGACCCAGAGCAGCUGUGCUGUGUCAGGUCACUUGAUCUGAGCGCUGCUGAGUCGCCAGUGACGGCGCCUCCAGCUCCUCGAGCCGUGUUCCUCUGCUUUAACCUUUGCCUGCCUGUCCCCAGCCCUUCCUUGGGGCAGGUCCUGGCCUCAGUCACAGCAGUCCCAAGGGUGGCAGGGACUGUGUCCAGAGCAGGGCCUUAUUGGCCCCUGACAGGCAGAACUGCAUACUCACACCCACUGAGCAGUUCACAGGAGUUUUUGGGUUCUCUCUGUAACAAAGACAUUGAAAGUCCAUAAGCCCCACUUUGUAUAAGGGAUUAUGGCCUGAAGCAGCUGGAAUCAGAUCAUGGCAUUAUUGUGUGUGGGCUGUACCUGCACCUCUGCAUGUACAGGGCUGGGAGUGCAUGGCUGUGGCCCCUGGGGCUGUGUGCAUGUUGAUUAUUUUUUCCUGGAUUUUUUUUUUUUUUGCUUGGAUACUCACUAAAUGCCUGGGAAUUAACCAAGUAUAGUUAUAUCUUGUUGCAAAUUUGGAUAACCUGUCUACUUUCUUCAUUCCCCUUAAUUCUUGAUCUCCCUUGUUAUUCUUCCCUUUACCAGGAAUCCUGCAGGAGUAGGUAACCCAAUCCUACCUUGGCACAAGAAGACCCAGUCCUGAUCUCAUUCACUCUCCUAAAAUCCACAAAUUAAAUCUACUGGAUUUAGCAUAUUGACAUUGAUUUCCCAGCUCCGCUGGUGCUUUCUGGAUUCCCAUCUGCUUGAAACUGGACGGAGAACUAUUAAUUCAGGAAACAGCAAUUUGGGCUUGAUGGGGAUGUACUGACCUUAAGCCUUCAUUAAUAUAAUUAGUGCCCUUGGUUUGAGGAGGGCUCUCUCCACUUGGACUGUGUGACAUGAAAGCUCUGAGUCCCUCUGACCUGAGGUGCAAAAACGACCAUUUAUUCAAGAUGAGAAAAACUCCUGCGGGUGGAUUGCUAGAAAAUGAUGUCAAAGGCUGGAAAAACUUGGCAAUGGGGAUCUUUUUCAGCUUGGUUUCUUUAAUGGCUUGAUGAAAUUAAAUUUUCUUAAUGUGGAUACUCCUGGUGAAGCUGAGCUUGCCCUCAUAACUUGCUCUGGUGAACCUGAACGUCCCUUUCUUUCCCUUAAAAUCCAGAGGUGUGUGGGUUGGUUCUCAUUACACAGCUGUGCUGAGCUGUGGCAUGGCUGGUGCUGCAGUGUGAGAGAGGAGGAUCUGCUGAGUGGGAAGCAGUCCCGGAGUAGGAGGAGGUGUUUGGAGGUGGCAUUAUGUGGGAAGCCACCACACCUUCUGCAGGGACAUGUUCCUGUUCCUUCUUCAGGAUUUAACACAAGCCAUGUAUAUCCUUCUGCAGAGAAA